rnacentral:rRNA from 1 species
GAUGAACGCUGGCGGCAUGCCUUACACAUGCAAGUCGAACGGCAGCGGGGGAGAAGCUUGCUUUUCCUGCCGGCGAGUGGCGAACGGGUGAGUAAUACAUCGGAACGUGCCCUGUAGUGGGGGAUAACUAGUCGAAAGAUUAGCUAAUACCGCAUACGACCUGAGGGUGAAAGUGGGGGACCGCAAGGCCUCAUGCUAUAGGAGCGGCCGAGGUCUGAUUAGCUAGUUGGGGGGGUAAAGGCCUACCAAGGCGACGAUCAGUAGCUGGUCUGAGAGGACGAUCAGCCAAACGGGGACUGGGACACGGCCAAGAGUCCUACGGGAGGCAGAAGUGGGGAAUUUUGGACAAUGGGCGAAAGCAUGAUCCAGAAAUGCCGCGUGUGUGAAGAAGGCCUUCGGGUUGUAAAGCACUUUUGUCCGGAAAGAAAUGGCUCUGGUUAAUACCUGGGGUCGAUGACGGUACCGGAAGAAUAAGGACCGGCUAACUACGUGCCAGCCGCCGCAGUAAAAC